rnacentral:rRNA from 1 species
AGUCGACGGGAUCCAGAUCAAGCUUGCUUUGGUUUGGUGAGAGUGGCGCACGGGUGCGUAACGCGUGAGCAACCUACCCUUGUCAGGGGGAUAGCCCGGCGAAAGUCGGAUUAAUACCGCAUGACAUCAUUGAGAGGCAUCUUUCGAUGAUCAAAGAUUUAUCGGACAAGGAUGGGCUCGCGUGACAUUAGCUAGUUGGUAAGGUAACGGCUUACCAAGGCUACGAUGUCUAGGGGCUCUGAGAGGAGAAUCCCCCACACUGGUACUGAGACACGGACCAGACUCCUACGGGAGGCAGCAGUAAGGAAUAUUGGUCAAUGGACGGAAGUCUGAACCAGCCAUGCCGCGUGCAGGAAGACUGCCCUAUGGGUUGUAAACUGCUUUUAUACGGGAACAAACGUCGGUACGUGUACCGGUCUGAGUGUACCGUAAGAAUAAGGAUCGGCUAACUCCGUGCCAGCAGCCGCGGUAAUACGGAGGAUCCGAGCGUUAUCCGGAAUUAUUGGGUUUAAAGGGUGCGUAGGCGGCCAGAUAAGUCAGGGGUGAAAGACGGCAGCUCAACUGUCGCAGUGCCUUUGAUACUGAUGAGCUUGAAUGUGGUUGAAGAUGGCGGAAUGAGACAAGUAGCGGUGAAAUGCAUAGAUAUGUCUCAGAACUCCGAUUGCGAAGGCAGCUGUCUAAGUCAUUAUUGACGCUGAUGCAC